GUCGGGAGUCUUGCACAAUGGGGGAAACCCUGACCCAGCGACGCCGCGUGAGGGAAGACGGCCUUCGGGUUGUAAACCUCUUUUGUACGGGAAGAAGGAAGUGACGGUACUGUACGAAUAAGUCCCGGCUAACUACGUGCCAGCAGCCGCGGUAAUACGUAGGGGACGAGCGUUGUCCGGAAUUACUGGGCGUAAAGGGCGCGCAGGCUGUGCUGCAAGUCAGCUGUGAAAUGUCUGGGCUUAACCCGGGCAUGCGGUUGAGACUGCAGUGCUGGAGUGCUGUAGAGGCAAGUGGAAUUCCCAGUGUAGCGGUGAAAUGCGUAGAUAUUGGGAAGAACACCGGUGGCGAAGGCGACUUGCUGGGCAGCAACUGACGCUGAGGCGCGAAAGCCAGGGGAGCAAACGGGAUUAGAAACCCCUGUAGUCC
rnacentral:rRNA from 1 species